rnacentral:lncRNA from 1 species
GCUUUAUUGCACAAGGUGUUAGAAUGAUCUUUUUAGUUUUUGCUUUCUUUUCAUAGAAAAUGUACUUUUGAACACAAGCAAUUGCUAUAACAAGCAACUCAAACAAAUGUUUGGGAUACCCUCAACAUUUUUUUAUGUUUUUGAUUUUCAUACAUUUUUUCCUUCAAUUUUUCCCUUUUAGCAAGCAUGCAAUGACUUUUUGAGGAUGAACAAAAUACAAAAUAAUGAUAAAAAAGUAAAUAGGACAAAUGACGACAUCAAAAGACCUUUAAAAAAGAAUAAAAAUUCAACAAAUCAGUAUCAAAAACAUAAAGGGAAAGUAAAAUGUUUUUGCCCAUUUCAGGAGUAAAAUAUUUUAUCAUUGAUACUAUUUCAAAUUUGAAAUUGGGGCAUUCAACCCUGAUGUGUCCCCUGAUUUAUUCUGACGAAAAUAGCUCUUCAUACAAAACUGUGUUUAUGUACAAGACUUAAUCUAUAAACAACACUGACAAAGGUAGAGAGCAUGGGUCUAGUAUGUUUAGGGUGGUGAAUUUUAACUUUAAUUAAUCUGAGAGGGGGGGAAAAGGCAGAAGUCUGAAUGCUUCAGGUUUACAGACCCACUCCAGUCCAGUAUUUACACAACAGUAGUUUGUGUGACCAAAAGAGCUACGCGUCCCUGAUUAAAGUUGGCUGAACUGGUUUAGCCACAGACCAAAUACUCUAGUACUGUUUGGCCCCUGGAACCAAAAUUUAGACAGAAAUCCAAUCAAAUAAAAAAAAUGAAGAUUGAAAAUCGAAAUCAACGGACCAACAGAAACACCCUCCUUUGCACAAAUAAAUGAACGAACAAAGCAAACGGAAAAGUAAAUAUAAACCACAAAACACUUUCAUGGAGAUGCUUCAGAAAGACAUUCCAAUAGGUUAUCGUGUGAAUGUACAUUAGUGAAAAAUGGAGGGAUGGAGAUAAAGGGGGUGGGACAUAUACAGUACUUCAGACAGGGCAACAACAAAGAUAUCAAUUGAGUGAACAUUAUAUCAUUUUCAAAACUGAACUCCCUGACAUAUAACACCGCUCAACAUUAUAUUAUUUAACUUCAUUCACAUCAUGACCGGGAUUCCUUCAGCUAGUUUUCCAUUUCCUUGAAGAGUGAAGAUCUGAGUAGCUCGAUGGCUGGCUGAGAGGUCAGUUGGAUGUUUGACUUUGAUGUUUUUUAGAAGCCUCCAUUUUGAAACACAACCCAUGUCUGUACAUAUAUGCUACAUAGAACUUCUCAGUGGAUUCUCUGGGAUAGUGGCUUGGUUUUUAAAUGUUAGUGUUACUAAUAACCACUCAGGCUCAGUCAAAGAGACUCAUGAGCAAGCUUUGUUUACCACAUGGAAGGCUCUCUGCUAUCACCUUGUCCUGGCGGUCAUUUUCUUCGGACGACACACUCUGGGUGGGAAACCCAUACAUUAAUGUAGUGUUUUACUGCUGUAUUGGAGGUUAACACAUCGUAGAAACACAGGGAAUCCAAUCUGGGCUGAGAAAUUUGCUGCUUCACAAAUAAGCAACAAAAUAUAGCGCAACAAUUAGUGAAACUCCAGGGGAAUGUGGGCGGUGUAUCAGCAUCACACUUUUUGAUACCAACAGCUUCAGUCACAAUAGCAAACAUUUGUUAGCUAACAUUACCACCCUCUAGCUAUGUUAUUGAACACUAACAUUAGCUUUCAGUGACAACACAAAACACAGUGGUGUGAAAGCAAAUCAACUUUUAAGCUUCCCAAUUUAGCAUGACGUCAACUGAAAAUGGCCGCCGUAUGAAUGUGGUGGAUGAUUUUUUCCACCUGACACACUGAGCAAAGAGGCUUUCCUGCUUUUUCAGGUAUUAAAACUUGCCAGCCUUGCUAGCUUUCUUUCCUGUCUCAGCAUGGAGCUGUAAAAAGGAAACACUCUUCUCUUCAUCUGUCUACAAACAGAAACAUACAGAACAUCCCGUAGAUAUACUAAAGUUUUUCUUUCUUAAGUCCAACCUUUUUUAAAAUUGAUCUUUUAUUAAAUUUCAUGAUUGAGCGAUUGUCUCAUUUUUAAAUUUGACAUUAACAUUAAAUUCCUGUAUAUACUACUACACUAUUGUAGUACAUACCAUUUAUACUUUGUCAUAAUUUCACUUAAAUGUCAAUAAUAUACCUACAUAGAAAUAUAUAUGUAAAUUCUUUAUAAUACCAAAUAUUCUCUAUUUGUAAUGUGAGAAAUUAUAGCUGGUUUAUUUGGGUUGUCAUGAUUGUUUUAAAGUCAAACACUGUUCAGCUGGAGAAAGAGAGAGAGAGAGAGAGAGAGAGAGAGAGAGAGAGAAGAAGGAGAGAGAGAGAGAGAUGUGGAGAAUGCUACUGUGAUAGAAAUUCUUUUAAUCAUACUUGGACAUGAGUUAACCUGAAUAAUUUCAUUUGGAAUCACCGUUUAGAAUAAAUUCUGCCAAUAGCUACAGUUUUUGGGACCUUAAGGGACACAAAGAGGGUAAAAGAUACAGUGAGAACAGGGGAACUUAACUGGAAGUCCUGCAAAUUGACAAUAAUACUCAAACUAUGGAGGACAGUAUGCGUGUGCGUAUGAGAGACAGAAUGGCCACACAGCUUCAUACUGGCUAUUGUAGUCUUCAUCAUCAUAAACACAGAGCUUUUAGCUCCUCAAUUAAAGUCAAUAUUUCAGAAUGACCACAGAAUCACUUCCUGGUUGUUUGCUGUGCAACUCCCGCGAGCACUGAGCGGAACUGAGCACCAGCCGGCUGGAACUGUUAGUUGGAGUUAGUAAAUCUUUUAGAGUCCCAGGUAAACAUGUAAAGUAAGGGUAGCUGGGUCUCUGUCCGGGAAAACACCUAUCCCAAGGAAAAUUAGACAGAACGCAGUUCACCAUUAGUUGGGUUUAAAGA